UACGGGGGGGGCAAGCGUUGUUCGGAAUUACUGGGCGUAAAGGGCUCGUAGGCGGCCAACUAAGUCGGACGUGAAAUCCCUCGGCUUAACCGGGGAACUGCGUCUGAUACUGGAUGGCUUGAGUUUGGGAGAGGGAUGCGGAAUUCCAGGUGUAGCGGUGAAAUGCGUAGAUAUCUGGAGGAACACCGGUGGCGAAGGCGGCAUCCUGGACCGACACUGACACUGAGGAGCGAAAGCCAGGGGAGCAAACGGG
rnacentral:rRNA from 1 species